UAUGAACCUGGGUAUAAAUAGCUAUGUUCUUGAAACCCAAAGAAUUUGGCGGUAUUUUAUUCUUUUUAGAGGAACCUGUCCUGUAAUUGAUAAUCCACGAUAGGAGUUACUUAUUUUUGUUUUCAUUUUGUAUACCUCCGUCAUCAGAGUAUCCUUUCAGGGAUUAAUAUUCUUAAUAUAUAAACUAUUUUAUGUCAGGUCAAGGUGCAAUUUAUAAAUAAGUAGAGAUGGGUUACAAUAAAGAUAUUUAAACGGAUUAUUAUUUUUAAUUUUAGUAUGAAGGUGGAUUUAAAAGUAAAAUUAUUUUAUUUGUUAGUUUGACUAUGGCUCUAAAAUAUGCACACAUCGCCCGUCGCUCUUAUUUUAAAAUAAGAUAAGUCGUAACAUAGUAGGAGUACCGGAAGGUGUUCCUAGA
rnacentral:rRNA from 1 species